AGUCGAGGGGCAACAGAACAUUUAUGUUGCUGGCGACCGGCGAACGGGUGAGUAACACGUAUGCAAUCUACCUUGUACAGGGGGAUAGCUUCUGGAAACGGAAAUUAAUACCCCAUAUGGUGAAUAGAGCACAUGCUUUGUUCAUGAAAGCUCAGGCGGUACAAGAUGAGCAUGCGUCCUAUUAGCUUGUUGGUGAGGUAAUGGCUCACCAAGGCGAUGAUGGGUAGGGGGUCUGAGAGGACGAUCCCCCACACUGGCACUGAGACACGGGCCAGACUCUUACGGGAGGCAGCAGUAGGGAAUAUUGGUCAAUGGGCGCAAGCCUGAACCAGCCAUGCCGCGUGCAGGAUGAAGGUCAUAAGAUUGUAAACUGCUUUUGUACAAGAACAAUAAGUUCCUGCGGGGACCCAUGAGAGUAUUGUACAACAAAAAGCACCGGCUAACUUCGUGCCAGCAGCUGCGGUAAGACGAGGGGUGCAAGCGUUAUCCGGAUUUACUGGGUUUAAAGGGUGCGUAGGCGGUUGAAUAAGUCAAUGGUGAAAGCUAGCAGCUUAACUGUUAAAGUGCCAUUGAUACUAUUUAGCUAGAGUACAGUUAAGGUAAGUGGAACUCCAUGUGUAGCAGUGAAAUGCUUAGAUAUAUGGAAGAACACCAACAACGAAGGUAACUUACUGGGCUGUCACUGACGCUGAGGCACGAAAGCGUAGGGAGCAAACAGGAUUAGAUACCCUGGUAGUCUACGCUGUAAACGAUGAUCACUCGAUGUAUGCUUUUAGCAUAUGUCU
rnacentral:rRNA from 1 species